rnacentral:rRNA from 1 species
AACGAACGCUGGCGGCAGGCUUAACACAUGCAAGUCGAGCGCCCCGCAAGGGGAGUGGCAGACGGGUGAGUAACGCGUGGGAACAUACCCUUUUCUACGGAAUAGCUCUGGGAAACUGGCAUUAAUACCGGAUACGCAUUACGGGGGAAAGAUUUGUCGGGGAAGGAUUGGACCGCGUUGGAUUAGCUAGUUGGUGGGGUAAAGGCCUACCAAGGCGACGAUCCAUAGCUGGUCUGAGAGGAUGAUCAGCCACAUUGGGACUGAGACACGGCCCAAACUCCUACGGGAGGCAGCAGUGGGGAAUAUUGGACAAUGGGCGCAAGCCUGAUCCAGCCAUGCCGCGUGAGUGAUGAAGGCCUUAGGGUUGUAGAGCUCUUUCACCGGAGAAGAUAAUGACGGUAUCCGGAGAAGAAGCCCCGGCUAACUUCGUGCCAGCCGCCGCCGUAAGAC